ensembl:snoRNA
AGCACUGGCAUGUAUUUUUGUUGAACUGGUGAACAAAGACAUAAAAGACAGGUACAAAAAUAAUCCUCUUUUGCAACCCACAACUCAUUGUUUAGUAUGAGUUUUGAUUCAUGUAAAAAGAAACAUG